rnacentral:Y_RNA from 1 species
GGCUGGUAAAAGUGCAAUGGUGUUUACAACUAAUUGAUCAUAACCAGUUACGGAUUCCUUUGUUUCUCCUCCACUCCCAGUGCUUCACUAGACCAGCCUUUA